UACGGGGGGGGCAAGCGUUGUUCGGAAUUACUGGGCGUAAAGGGCGCGUAGGCGGCCUACUAAGUCGGACGUGAAAUCCCUCGGCUCAACCGAGGAACUGCGUCCGAUACUGGCAGGCUGGAAUCCGGGAGAGGGAUGUGGAAUUCCAGGUGUAGCGGUGAAAUGCGUAGAUAUCUGGAGGAACACCGGUGGCGAAGGCGGCAUCCUGGACCGGUAUUGACGCUGAGGCGCGAAAGCUAGGGGAGCAAACGGG
rnacentral:rRNA from 2 species